UAAAAAAGCAUUGGUGGGAGCGAUAUAAAACUAUGUGACAUCAUUGCAUCUCCCUCGCACCAAUGCAUUUCCUAUUUAACUUAAAAUUGGGACAGCUCCACAUCCUCACGUCCUAGGAACUAUUUUAUUAGUGAUUUAAAAGCAGGACAAAAAACUGCCCAUAGGUUUUCGAACUCGUAACUGCAACGUACGAGGUUUAGAUAUACACCAUC